rnacentral:rRNA from 1 species
GUGGGGAAUCUUGCACAAUGGGGGAAACCCUGAUGCAGCGACGCCGCGUGAGCGAUGAAGCCCUUCGGGGUGUAAAGCUCUUUCGGCAGGGAAGAUGAUGACGGUACCUGCAGAAGCAGCUGCGGCUAACUACGUGCCAGCAGCCGCGGUAAUACGUAGGCAGCAAGCGUUGUUCGGAGUUACUGGGCGUAAAGGGUGCGUAGGCGGUUGUUUAAGUUUGGUGUGAAAUCUCCCGGCUCAACUGGGAGGGUGCGCCGAAUACUGAAUGACUAGAGUGCGGGAGAGGAGAGUGGAAUUCCUGGUGUAGCGGUGAAAUGCGUAGAUAUCAGGAGGAACACCGGCGGUGUAGACGGCUCUCUGGACCGCAACUGACGCUGAGGCACGAAAGCGUGGGUAGCAAACAGG